rnacentral:rRNA from 1 species
GGCGGCGUGCUUAACACAUGCAAGUCGAACGCGAAAGUUUUCUUCGGAAGACGAGUAGAGUGGCGCACGGGUGAGCAACGCGUAAGUUAUCUACCUCGGCAUCUGGAAUAACUCACCGAAAGGUGUGCUAAUACCGGAUACGUUGAGUAAUCAAGAAAGGUGGCCUCUGAAUAUGCUACUGUGCUGAGAUGAGCUUGCGUACCAUUAGCUAGUUGGUAGGGUAAUGGCCUACCAAGGCGACGAUGGUUAGCGGGUCUGAGAGGAUGAUCCGCCACACUGGAACUGGAACACGGACCAGACUCCUACGGGAGGCAGCAGUGAGGAAUAUUGCGCAAUGGGGGCGACCCUGACGCAGCGACGCCGCGUGGAUGAUGAAGGCCUUCGGGUCGUAAAAUCCUGUCAAGUGGAAAGAAGUGCAUGGUGGAUAAUACCCAUCAUGUUUGACGGUACCACUGAAGGAAGCACCGGCUAACUCCGUGCCAGCAGCCGCGGUAAUACGGAGGGUGCAAGCGUUGUUCGGAAUUACUGGGCGUAAAGCGCGCGUAGGCGGUUUUAUAAGUCAGAUGUGAGAGCCCAGGGCUCAACCCUGGACGUGCAUUUGAAACUGUGAGACUUGAGUAUUGGAGGGGGUGGUGGAAUUCCCGGUGUAGAGGUGAAAUUCGUAGAUAUCGGGAGGAAUACCAGUGGCGAAGGCGACCACCUGGCCAAACACUGACGCUGAGGUGCGAAAGCGUGGGGAGCAAACAGGAUUAGAUACCCUGGUAGUCCACGCCAUAAACGAUGUCAACUAGGUGUUGGGACGGUUAAUCGUCUCAUUGCCGCAGCUAACGCAUUAAGUUGACCGCCUGGGGAGUACGGUUGCAAGAUUA